UACGUAGGUGGCAAGCGUUGUCCGGAUUUACUGGGCGUAAAGAGCGCGCAGGCGGUCGUUCAAGUCGCGUGUGAAAGCCCCCGGCUCAACUGGGGAGGGUCACGCGAUACUGAUCGACUCGAAGGCAGGAGAGGGAAGUGGAAUUCCCGGUGUAGUGGUGAAAUGCGUAGAUAUCGGGAGGAACACCAGUGGCGAAGGCGGCUCUCUGGAACGCAACUGACGCUGAGACGCGAAAGCGUGGGGAGCAAACAGG
rnacentral:rRNA from 1 species